CACCUUCAGGGUGCGUGCAGGCUAGCUCGCACAUGCCAUCAUCCUAUAUAUCCUAAUUAAAUAGCAUUGAUUGCAACUUUUGAGGCCUCUCUAUUUUUUUAUUUGUGAUUCAAAAACCUUCCACACUAUAUACUUCUUUUUUUUUUAUUUUUUUUAAAUUUAUUUUUUUAAACUAAUUAAAUUUUUUUACUCGUUAUUUAUAUACUAAAUAUUUGAUAAAAUAAAAAAUUAAAAAAAAUUUAAAAAUAUAUAAUGCAUAGUGUAUAGAAUUAUGUUUAAAAUUUUUCUUUAGAAAAAAAUCUUAGUAGGCAAGCAGCCGGGACACGCCUUACAUGACAAGAUUUUUUUUUCCCCUCCUAGGCCCUAUCGAUUAUUCCUCUCUCAAUUUGAAAUUAUUCAUUAAGCUUGAACCCCGUAUCAUUUACCCCACCCCCCGCGUUGCCAACCUCUCCCCACUCGCAUCGCAUCCUCUCCCCAACCCCCACCCCCCGCAAACCGAUUCUUGCCUCGCAUGCCCCCCUCCCCUCGAAGCCCUUAAUUGAAUUCCCUUCCCUUUCCGAAGCCCCCUUAGUUCCCUCAGUCUACUGAAGCCCUCGACGCAUGUACCUAGCCCUCACCUCACCGACGCCCUCAACGCUGAAACUUAGCCCUCACGGAUGCCCUCAACGCUGAAACCUAGCCUUUAGUCCACCAAAGCCCUUAGUGAGAUUUUUGACGCUGCAAUUUCGACUUCUGCAGGUAGCUACGACGACUUGCUUCAUUUCAAGCAAUGCAUUUGCAAAGCACUUGGCAGGAAAGUCUGGGUCAGGGAUGAUAUCGUUUUCAACUAAAUUUAAAAGGAUCAUGGUGAAAAAAUUGGGGGGAGAUGUUUGGGGUGGGGGUGGGGGGUGGAGGACAUCUAUUCGAGCUGCAAGUGUGUCAGGAUAAGUUGUUGCAAAUGAGGAUAUUACUUAUUUUGUUGAAAAGUUUAAGGAAAAUAGCAUCGGAAUGGAACACUUUAUUUUGUAGUAUUGUUCUUGCAUAUUGCAGUUCAUUCAAGUCACUCUCAUAUUUUUGAGUUCAUGUGGUUGAUAUUUUUAUAGAAAACAACCUACUUUGAAAAUGUAGAUUGUGUUUUCUACAGUUGUAUUUGGAUUAUUCCAUUAAAUGGUUGCGAUUUACAUAUCAAAUUUUUGUUAAUGGAAAACCUUUAUUUAGUUUUCUUCUGCCA